CAACAAGAGUUAUUUAAUCAUUAUUCUCUGAGCUUAACAACAUUUUCUAAAUCAUUAUUGUUAUUAUUAUUAAAAGGCUAAAGACAAACGUUUAAAAAUAAAUCACUUCUAUGAAAAGGUAAAAUCCGUCCAAAAUUAAGUAACUCUUAAAAAUAUUGUCCUCCCAGCUAUAAUGGUAUAUGUCUCACUCUGCUGGUAUUGAUGGAUGGUAUAGGUCUCACACUCUGCUGGUAUUGAUGGAUGGUAUAGGUCUCACACUCUGCUGGUAUUGAUGGAUGGUAUAGGUCUCACUCUGCUGGUAUUGAUGGAUGGUAUAGGUCUCACUCUGCUGGUAUUGAUGGAUGGUAUAGGUCUCACUCUGCUGGUAUUGAUGGAUGGUAUAGGUCUAGGUCACACUCUUCUGGUAUUGAUGGAUGGUAUAGGUCUCACACUCUGCUGGUAUUGAUAGAUGCUUAUGUACUGAAGUAUGAGAUAGAGA
rnacentral:lncRNA from 1 species